rnacentral:rRNA from 1 species
CAGUCGCCACGGUAAUACGUAGGGUGCAAGCGUUAAUCGGAAUUACUGGGCGUAAAGCGUGCGCAGGCGGUUUGUUAAGUCUGUUGUGAAAUCCCCGGGCUCAACCUGGGAAUGGCAAUGGAUACUGGCAAGCUAGAGUGUGUCAGAGGAUGGUGGAAUUCCCGGUGUAGCGGUGAAAUGCGUAGAGAUCGGGAGGAACAUCAGUGGCGAAGGCGGCCAUCUGGGACAACACUGACGCUGAGGCACGAAAGCGUGGGGAGCAAACAGGAUUAGAUACCCGCGUAGUCCCUGUCUCUUAUAC